rnacentral:rRNA from 1 species
ACCUACGGGAGGCAGCAGUGGGGAAUAUUGCGCAAUGGCCUAACGGCUGACGCAGCGACGCCGCGUGGAGGAUGACGCCUUUCGGGGUGUAAACUCCUGUUGCCCGGGACGAACCUCAGGUUUCGACCUGACUGACGGUACCGGGUGAGGAAGCACCGGCUAACUCCGUGCCAGCAGCCGCGGUAAUACGGAGGGUGCGAGCGUUGUCCGGAAUCACUGGGCGUAAAGGGCGCGUAGGUGGCGCGGUAAGCGGGUGGUGAAAGUCCGGGGCUCAACUCCGGAUCGGCCAUGCGAACUGCCGCGCUCGAGCGUAGUAGAGGCAGGUGGAAUUCCGGGUGUAGCGGUGGAAUGCGUAGAGAUCCGGAAGAACACCGGUGGCGAAGGCGGCCUGCUGGGCUACAGCUGACACUGAGGCGCGACAGCGUGGGGAGCAAACAGGAUUAGAUACCCUAGUAGUC